rnacentral:misc_RNA from 1 species
GUAACAUCAACACGUUCCGUGGAGCAAGAUGUCUUGUCACCUACUGAGGCUGCUAGAGUGUUUGAGAGUCAGUUAGCUGAAUCCAUUUUAGAAGGUGAUGGCCAGCUUGCCUUUAAGAAGCUUGCCACUGCAACGCUUGAAACUUUGAUGCCAAGAAUAGAGGGGAAAGGGGAGUUUGGACAGGCCAGAUGGAGGCUAGUUUAUGCACCACAGAUACCCAACUUGCUUUCUGUUGAUCCCAGUGUUGAUCCUCUUAAGUCACUGGCCAGCAAUAUUUCAUUCGGUACAGAAGUUGAAGUCCAACUAGGGAAGCGCCUCCAGGCCUCUGUCGUAAGGCAGAUGAAGGAUUCUGAGAUGGCAAUGCAAUGGACCUUGAUAUAUCAGCUGACAAGCCGGCUCCGGGUGCUUUUACAGUCUACUCCAUCCAAACGUCUUCUAUUCGAAUAUUCAACAACAUCGCAAGACUAAGAUAAGGUUUUCGACAGUGUAUAUAUAUUUAUUCUUUCUAUAGUAGCCUAGGUGUCUAGAACAACCCCCCCAUAACCAUCCUCUACCUG